CCUGACGACCACAGCGAGCGGGUCCCACCCGAUCCCAUGCCGAACUCGGCAGUGAAACCGCUCAGCGCCGAGGGUAGUGUGGGGACUCCCCAUGCGAGACUAGGUCAUCGUCAGGCACCCCUUCCGAAA
rnacentral:rRNA from 1 species